CUAACCCCUGUCAGGUUCCUUCUCACUGUGAAUCUCGAUCUCCCCCUCCACCUCCUUCAACCUUCCACACCACCGUCACCACCACUACUACCAACGUCGGAUGUCAUCACCACCACAAAAACUGACGGUUUAUAUAACUAUCUCCACAUGCACUUCUCAAUCGAUUGAAACACCACCACUACUACCAAUUUCAUCUUCUGCCUUCUUCUACAAAUCACUAUCACCUACCUUCUCAAUCUAAAUCUCUGUUCAUCUUCAUCAAUUUCCACUCUAAAUCUCUAAAUAUCGAAUAACCUUUACUCAGUUUCGAGUUUAGGGUCCAGAGUUUUGAUUUGAUUGAAUAUUCAAUCAUCAUCUAUGUAACCCUAAAUUUGAAAUCGGGUGAAUUGUUGACACACUUAAGAAUUGGUAUGGUUAUUAAACUCAUGUUCUUCUCUUCAGGUUACGUUUUUCAACAUUAAUUGUUUGUAUUUUUCUGUAAAUGCCUAAUCGAUUGAACCACCAUCACCACCAACUCCGUUCUCUUCCUUCUACACCACCACCAUGAAAAUACCUUCAACAGUUUAGCACCGUAUUUACCGUCAUCAAUUAGAAAUUGUAUUGAAUUGAUUGAAAUGAUUGAAUUGGGUUGAAAUGAUAGGAUUGAAUUGGUUGGAUAGAAUUGAUGGUAGGUUAAGUUUGUGGACAUCACCUGUUUGUGUAAAUGUCUAAGUGAAUUCAUUAUUCAACUGCAUCAACAUCUUCCAUUACCAUUGUGGAUGGAUUCAUCGUGUUCUCAUCCACGUCCAAGUUCGAAACUUAGUUAUGUACCUCGAGUUCGAGAGCGAGAGCUAACGGAGAGUAAUACCGAAAAAAAAACAGGAUAAUAAUGAACAAUGUUGUGCUGCUUAUCACGCAAGAAUUAGUGCAGCAAAUCGCCAACCAAAUGACCAUGAAGCCAGUUCAAGUUCUAUUCCCCGCCGAAGCCCCAGAAUUAAGCUGUAACAGAGAGAGCUUCAAUUAGAGAUGCUUCGUAUUGCAAAAAGGGAUAGACGAAGUUCAAUGAGUGAAAAUCAAAAACAAGAGAUCCUUGAAAAACAGCGUAAAACUUAUGCAAUGCGAAGAAUAGGAGUAGGUGUUGCAACUAAUAAUGAGCACAGAGCGGGCCAAGUAAUGCUGGAGAGCAUUGGGCAGAAUCGAGUUGUAGGAAUAAUAACAACUGAGGCAGCUGAAUGUGAGGCGAUGCAGCAGAAAAAAAUGGAAUGGAAAACAUCAACAAAGAGAUAAAAGUCUGAAGAACUAUCUCUGCUGAGCAAUGUGAGAAAUUCUCUUAGGUUGCCAACUAGGAGAGUUUGCAGCCAUAUGAGAUGUACGAAUACAGGGAAACGCAAACCAAAGGUUUUUGCAAACUUUAAGCAGCUCUGGCAUGGAUAGGUGGACUUACAUAUAGCCUUGAACACAUUCAAGCCAAAGUAACAAAUCACCAGAGGUUUCAGCAAUUUCGUGCCAUUGAGGAGCCCCGUAUUUAGCCAUGGACAGCUCUAUGUUGCACUGUCCAGAUGCACGAGCGCCGGGAGGAUCCAUGUGUUGCUCCCAAAGAACAGUUCUAGACACAAACAACAAAUGUUGUGUAUCCAGAAAUCCUGUCUUAAGUUUGUUUUCAAAAUUUGAUUCUAUUGUUCUUAAUUUCUUAUCAGCAGUGUCUAUUCUUGGCUAAUUUGGUUGUCAAUUUGAUGUUUAAUUUGUGUUAAUUGUAAUGUCGAAUGGAACACUUGGAACUGACAAGAUUAUUGUUUUGUUCUUUGGCAAUCGUAGAUUGCAUUGGCGAACAAUUAUA